rnacentral:lncRNA from 1 species
GAUCAUGGGAUUUGUUUUUCUCUUUUUAGGAAUUUUAGUAUUGGAGAGUUCAAUUUCAGACUGCAGUGCUUCCUGGCAAAAUGAAAAUGGCAUCAUUUGACCUCAGAAUCCAGGAAACCGCCCGAGCCUUCUGUUCAGGGUCUCAUCAACGGUGAGAUGACCGACCCACCUGGCCGAAGGACCCGACCACGCCCUUCCAUGGCGGAAGAUGGAACAGGGAGUUGGUGUUUUCUCCGGUUUUAGCCUCUCACUCACUCCCUCAGGCCUGCACCUCCCUUGGGCUGGAUCUAGCAGAGAGCCAGCUAAUGGAGCAUUCAGACAUCCUGCUGGUGGCCCCCUGCAUUACAGAAGAGAGAAAGAGAGCGGGGCAAGGCUGAGACAGGUAUCAGAAGGCCGACCAGCCCUGGAUCAGUACGGCAGCACUUCUCGUGUUCAUUUAGUCAGAAGACAGCAAUCUGUGACACAGAAGAGGGCCCUCACCCAACCAUGCCGGCAUCCUGAUCUCAGACUUUCAGCCUCCAAAACUGUGAGAAAUACAUUUCUGCUGUUUAUACAUCACCCAGGCUUUGGUACUUGGUGCUAGCAGUCCAGGCAGAUUAAGACAUUAUAAUUAUCAUUGGAAGACAGACUGUGGGAUGUAGGAAACUGAUUCCAUAUAUACGCCUCGCGGGCAUCAAGUGCAUACGUGCCCACACGCAGACAAGCACACCCACACACAGACAGGCAAGGCCAUGCGUGGACACGCAUGUCCACACAUGGAUAUGCACGCCUGUAGGCACUGAGUGCCAACAAGACAUGCAGAAAAUGCAUGGGUAUCAGAGAAAGACACAUUGGUGGUGCUUUUUGGUUUGGGUUUUGUUUUUUGUGGGUUUUUUUGUUUUUGUUUUUUAAUUUUUACUGACACUGAAAGCACAAAUGUGAGAGAAGCCUUAAGGAUAAGGAGACAGUAAUCACACUUAGCGCCAAAUUUAAAGUGCCGCAGUUUUGAAGAGUAAAAAUUCGACAUGCUUAUUUUGGUAUUCUUGCUGGCAUAAUUUUUAGCAAAUUGAAGCACUGAUAAAUUUGCAAGACACAAACAUAGUUUCCCCUAUUUUGUAGACAUGAUUAAAAAGAUUACUACUGUUGGUUCAUUCUCAGUAAUGUAUUCCCCAGAAGAAGUACAGAGAAUAUGGAAGGAAGAUGGGAGACAGCUAGUUGAACCCCGCAGCUCAAGGUUGGCUUAGCAGGGCUAUUUCAGCUCUGGGAGACACUGCCUUCACAUCGGGACACUCAUCCUGUUAACAUCACUUAAAAAUCACCCAGCAAGGAAUGCCUGUGUGGCUCAGUUGGUUAAGCCUCUGCCUUCGGCUCCUUCAUGAUCCCAGGGUCCUGGGAUUGUGUUCCACAUUGGGCUCCUUGCUCAAUAGGGAGCCUGCUCUGCCUGUAGCUCUCCGUAUUUCUGCUCUCCCUGACAGAUAAAUAAAUAAAAGUCUUUAAAAAAAAAAAAAAGCAUCCAGAAAAUUUUGUCUUCUAUUUUAUUAUGUGACUUUUUCGAAUCUUACGUUGUUUAAUCCAAUCUAUGCUUUAUCUCCAUUGCUCUUAGAACUUGUAUUUUUUUUUCAUUUUCCCUUUGACCCCCUUCACCCAUUUCACCAUCAAAGUUUCCUGAUUUAAAUGUAAAUCUCAUCCAAAACCACCCUCAUAGAAACAUCCAGAAUAUUUGACCAAAUAUCUGGAUAUUGUGGCCCAG